rnacentral:tRNA from 1 species
AUUGCUUUGGCAGAUUAGUGCAUUAAAUUUAGAAUUUAAAUAUUUUAUAAAUUAUAUAAAGUAAUA